GACGUAGGGCGCGAGCGUUGUCCGGAUUUAUUGGGCGUAAAGGGCUCGUAGGCGGUUCGUCACGUCGGGGAGUGAAAACUCGGAGCUUAACUCCGAGCCUGCUUCCGAUACGGGCAGACUAGAGUUCGGCAGGGGAGACUGGAAUUCCUGGUGUAGCGGUGAAAAUGCGCAGAUAUCAGGAGGAACACCGGUGGCGAAGGCGGGUCUCUGGGCCGAUACUGACGCUGAGGAGCGAAAAGCGUGGGGGAGCGAACAGG
rnacentral:rRNA from 1 species